rnacentral:rRNA from 1 species
UACGUAGGUGGCAAGCGUUAUCCGGAAUUACUGGGCGUAAAGCGCACGCAGGUGGUUAUCUAAGAUUGACGUGAAAACUGUUGGCUUAACUGGCAGACGUCGUUGAUGACUGGAUGACUUGAGACGAGGAGAGGGGUGCAGAAUUCCCGGUGUAGUGGUGGAAUGCGUAGAUAUCGGGGGGAAUACCAGUGGCGAAAGCGGCACCCUGGCCUUAGUCUGACGCUCAGGUGCGAAAGCGUGGGGAGCGAACGGG